ACUAAUGUAACUCCAGAGGUGUCAAACCUUGAGGUUACUACUGUUGCAUUAAAUCUGAACUUUGCAGAUCUUGGGCUAAUUCGCUUUUCAUAGAGGGAAAUUACUUGAAAAGGGGGGUUUGGUUGAUACAAUUCAGCCUCAAUUCAAUCUGUUUAUUCUAUUCGAGAGGAUGCAAACUGAUGAGGAGAAGAUUUUGUUGUCAGAAAUGGACAAUAAUCAGGACUACAAGGAGGACGGUGAAAGAGAGAACCAUCUGAACGCCGUUAAGGCAGGGAUCACAGGGAUGCAUUGACCCACUAGCCGUGACAUCCCUGAGAGCCCUGCUGCCAUCAAGUUCCUGCCAAAGAUCAGCGUCUAACAUUUAAGAAAUCACUUCCUGCCCCCAUCUGGAUUUCCUCAUUAUAGCAUGACAUCAUCUGCAAACAACCAACAGAUCCAACCUGAAUCUACCAGCAAGGCUACUGUGGAGUGAUUGAUGGCAUGCCCUACAACUGCCCUGAAGCAGAAUUGUUCAUUUUACCCCCCUAUUAUUUGGUUUACAUAACAGAGAGUAUUGUAAUGUUUGUUCACAUAACUUCAAGUACAUAAGCAUGGAGUAAAAAGAACUUGCUUAGUCA